rnacentral:rRNA from 1 species
GUGGGGAAUAUUGGACAAUGGGGGAAACCCUGAUCCAGCAAUGCCGCGUGAGUGAUGAAGGCCUUCGGGUUGUAAAGCUCUUUUAUCAGGGAAGAUAAUGACGGUACCUGAUGAAUAAGCUCCGGCUAACUUCGUGCCAGCAGCCGCGGUAAUACGAAGGGAGCUAGCGUUGUUCGGAAUUACUGGGCGUAAAGGGCGCGUAGGCGGCCUUGUAAGUUAGAUGUGAAAGCCCCGGGCUUAACCUGGGAACGGCAUUUAAGACUGCAAAGCUAGAGGACGAGAGAGGAAAGUGGAAUUAUGAGUGUAGAGGUGAAAUUCGUAGAUAUUCAUAAGAACACCAGUGGCGAAGGCGACUUUCUGGCUCGUAUCUGACGCUAAGGCGCGAAGGCGUGGGGAGCAAACAGGAUUAGAAACCCGGGUAGUCC